AGAAUAUAUCACGAGUAUUGACAACAAAACGUUCUACACUUAUUACUUGAGCAAGACUGACUUCCAAGUCAUAAUCUUUAUCAAAUUUUGAAUCAUGAAGGGUGCUACUUUGGUUAUGGUAUCUUGUGUUUUCAUAUGUUUCAUUCUGAGUCAUGGUAAAGACGGGGACUGUUGGGAUGAAAUCCCAUUCCCUGGAAAAUGCAGCAAACAAGGAAAAAAGGAAUGCUUCAAAGAAAUGCUUUCGAAGAACAUUACAAGACGCUUUGUUCGCUGCAACUGUAUAAACUGGGAACCUGACAAAUCAGGUGAGGAAGGACAUAAUGUAAAACAUAGUCAUGAGCAUACAGAGCAUCAACAUAUCUGCCAAUGUCUCAGAGUUGUUGCCGGUGAUUGUUUGCCAUACGGAAAAGCGUAACAGAGUUUUUGGUGGUGACACAUAGAUAAACAAUGGUGGUAAUCUGAUGUUAUUUUUUCUUCAAAUUAUAUUUCUUUUCAUCUUAAUAAAGGCAAUAAGAUUAUGCGUUAUCAAUUGUAACGGACUAUAUAUGCGUAUUUCAUUCAAUUUUAUUUUAUUUUA